rnacentral:rRNA from 1 species
GAGUUUGAUCGUGGCUCAGGAUGAACGCUGGCGGAGUGCCUAAUACAUGCAAGUCGAGCGGCAGCACGAGUAGUUUACUACUUGGUGGCGAGCGGCGGACGGCUGAGUAACGCGUGGGAACGUGCCCCAAAGUGAGGAAUAACUGCCCGAAAGGGUAGCUAAUGCCGCAUAUGAUCUUCGGAUUAAAGUAUUUAUUACGCUUUGGGAGCGGCCCGCGUCUGAUUAGGUAGUUGGUGAGGUAAAGGCUCACCAAGCCGAUGAUCGGUAGCUGGUUUGAGAGGAUGACCAGCCAGACUGGAACUGAGACACGGUCCAGACUCCUACGGGAGGCAGCAGUAAGGAAUCUUCCACAAUGGACGAAAGUCUGAUGGAGCAACUCCGCGUGCAGGAUGAAGGCCUUAGGGUUGUAAACUGCUUUUAUGAGUGAAGAAUAUGACGGUAACUCAUGAAUAAGGGUCGGCUAACUACGUGCCAGCCGCCGCGGUAAC